CCUGGAUCCCUUCAGUGUGUGGCUGCAAUAAAACCUACAGGAACUCCAUACAAGGACCCUUCCUGGCUCUCUGUUGCUGUUCUGCUAUCCGUGGUGUGUGAGUGAGUGUGUGUGUGUGUGAGAGAGAGAGAGUUUGAGUGUGCGUGAGUGUGAUUGCAGCCUGCUCAGACACGUUCUUCCCUGGAGGCACUUUUGGGAAGGCAGCUUCGCCUCACCAUCACCAUCUGAUGCUGCAGAAGGAGACAUGAAAGAUGAACUGUUGUGGAAAGAAAGGGACCUUGUCUGCACCUCCAGGCAAGGAAUCUGAGCUAAGUCCAAGAGAAGCAGGAGAGCUGCCAACGAGACACAGUUAAAAAGUCAAAGCCUGAGGAAGAGGGAGAUUUCCUUGAAAGGACCCCAGACCCAUUUUAAAUGAGGACCUGAGCACACACAGAGGGGUGUGGAGCUCAUUACCAGACCAGGUGAAAGUGGGCAGAGUCAGGCAGUGAAUAUUAGGCUUGUUGCGUAAUCCUGUGUAUCUGUAACACUGGGAAAUAAGCAGGGAAUGAGGGGCAAUGGUGGGGUGCACACGUUUUUGAGAGGUGACUCCAUGGGCCACCUGGCCAUAGUAAACAUACCCUCCCUAACUUUAAAUAGUUAGAGAGUCCUUUGUCUGUGAUUUUACUGCUUCACUCCACGUAGAGCUUCUCAUGAAGAGCAUUGGACGGGGAAAGGGACUGUAGGAAACAUGAGAGAAAUAGCUUUAUUUUUGAAAAUGGUUUUAUUUUUGAAUAGAAGACUUAAGGAGAAUAUGAAAGUUACUGAUGAGUGAGAAGAAAACACUUUAGUCCAUUUUUUGUUAUUUGUAUUAAUUAUCUGUGUCUGACUAUGUCAUGAGACCAGGCAGGGAUUCUGCCUUGCUUUUGUGCUUGGAGAGCUGCAAGGACCUGAGAGCCAAGACCUCAUUACUCAAGAUUCUCUGUGGCUGAAGGACAACUUCAUCCAAGCAGGCAAGAGCUUGGACAUUUCUGAGUGUCUUAUGUUCUGUGUCCAGCUGAGAGGAGUUUGGAUGGCAUCACCAUGUACAGGUCACAUGCAGGUGUCAUCUGAAGAGGUGGACACUGAAGGAGGAAUCAACAGUUUUCCCUGCCUGGCAAGGCAUAAUUGCUACUUCAGGAAUGUUAAAUGCAAAUUGAAUGUCAGCAAUGGAUGCAAUCUAAUGGGAGAUUCUCCUGAGCUUCCCAGAUCCACAGGUGUUUCCAUCUCCUGAUGCCACCAAAGGUUUCUUAGGAAGGAAAUGCCACAGAUAUACCAGGGUGAAGAACAUCAUCUUGCCUAAUGAAGUUGUGUAAAUGGCUGAAGAAAAUUGUCACUGGGAUUUUGUUUAAAAAAGUGGAAGAAGAGUUUGGCUGAAAAGCUAAGUACACACCAAGAUAUGUAAUCAUGA